AUUGAACGCUGGCGGCAUGCUUUACGCAUGCAAGUCGAACGGUAACAGGCCGCAAGGUGCUGACGAGUGGCGAACGGGUGAGUAAUGCAUCGGAACGUGCCCAGUCGUGGGGGAUAACGCAGCGAAAGCUGCGCUAAUACCGCAUACGAUCUCUGGAUGAAAGCGGGGGACCGAAAGGCCUCGCGCGAUUGGAGCGGCCGAUGUCAGAUUAGGUAGUUGGUGGGGUAAGGGCUCACCAAGCCAACGAUCUGUAGCUGGUCUGAGAGGACGACCAGCCACACUGGGACUGAGACACGGCCCAGACUCCUACGGGAGGCAGCAGUGGGGAAUUUUGGACAAUGGGCGCAAGCCUGAUCCAGCAAUGCCGCGUGCAGGAAGAAGGCCUUCGGGUUGUAAACUGCUUUUGUACGGAACGAAACGGUCCUGGUUAAUACCUGGGGCUAAUGACGGUACCGUAAGAAUAAGCACCGGCUAACUACGUGCCAGCCGCCGCUGUAAGAC
rnacentral:rRNA from 1 species